AUACGUAGGUGGCAAGCGUUGUCCGGAAUUAUUGGGCGUAAAGCGCGCGCAGGUGGUUCCUUAAGUCUGAUGUGAAAGCCCCCGGCUCAACCGGGGAGGGUCAUUGGAAACUGGGGAACUUGAGUGCAGAAGAGGAUAGUGGAAUUCCAAGUGUAGCGGUGAAAUGCGUAGAGAUUUGGAGGAACACCAGUGGCGAAGGCGACUGUCUGGUCUGUAACUGACACUGAGGCGCGAAAGCGUGGGGAGCAAACAGGAUUAGAUACCCUGGUAGUCCACGCCGUAAACGAUGAGUGCUAAGUGUUGGGGGGUUUCCGCCCCUCAGUGCUGCAGCUAACGCAUUAAGCACUCCGCCUGGGGAGUACGGUCGCAAGACUGAAACUCAAAGGAAUUGACGG
rnacentral:rRNA from 1 species